rnacentral:rRNA from 1 species
AUUGAACGCUGGCGGCAGGCCUAACACAUGCAAGUCGAACGAGUGGCGGACGGGUGAGUAAUGUCUGGGAAACUGCCUGAUGGAGGGGGAUAACUACUGGAAACGGUAGCUAAUACCGCAUACCAUCAGAUGUGCCCAGAUGGGAUUAGCUUGUGGGUGGGGUAACGGCUCACCAAGGCGACGAUCCCUAGAUGGUCUGAGAGGAUGACCAGCCAGACGGGAACUGCGACACGGUCCAGACGCCUACGGGAGGGAGCAGUGGGGAAUAUUGCAAAAUGGGCGCAAGCCUGAUGCAGCCAUGCGGCUUGUAUGAAGAAGGCCUUGGGGUUGUAAAGUACUUUCAGCGGGGAGGCGUUACCCGCAGAAGAAGCACCGGCUAACUCCGUGCCAGCAGCCGCGGUAAUAC